CCUACGGGAGGCAGCAGUGGGGAAUAUUGGGCAAUGGAGGCAAGUCUGACCCAGCAACGCCGCGUGAAUGAUGAAGGCUUUCGGGUUGUAAACUUCUUUUGUCAGGGAAGAGUAGAAUGCGGUACCUGACGAAUAAGCCACGGCUAACUACGGUCCAGCCGCCGCGGUAAUACGUAGGUGGUAAGCGUUGUCCGGAUUUACUGGGGGUAAAGGGCGUGUAGCCGGGUUGACAAGUCAGAUGUGAAAUCCUGAGGCUUAACCGUAGAACUGCAUCUGAAACUGUUGAGCUUGAGUACUGGAGAGGCAGAUGGAAUUCCUAGUGUAGCGGUGGAAUGCGUAGAUAUUAGGAGGAACACCAGUGGCGAAGGCGGUCUGCUGGACAGCAACUGACGGUGAGGCGCGAAAGCGUGGGGAGCAAACAGGAUUAGAUACCCGAGUAGUC
rnacentral:rRNA from 1 species